rnacentral:tmRNA from 1 species
GGGGCUGAUUCUGGAUUCGACGGGAUUUGCGAAACCCAAGGUGCAUGCCGAGGAGAGGUCAAACCCAAAAGAGAUCGCGUGGAAGCCCUGCCUGGGGUUGAAGCGUUAAAACUUAAUCAGGCUAGUUUGUUAGUGGCGUGUCCGUCCGCAGUUGGCAAGCGAAUGUAAAGACUGACUAAGCAUGUAGUACCGAGGAUGUAGGAAUUUCGGACGCGGGUUCAACUCCCGCCAGCUCCACCA